GCGAAAUUUCCCUUACGGGGAGAGAGUAGAGUGGCGCACGGGUGAGUAACACGUGGGUAAUUUACCUUCGGGUGGGGAAUAACAGUCGGAAACGACUGCUAAUACCGCAUGAUGCAGCGGCACCACAUGGUGACAGUUGUUAAAGCGGGGGAUCGCAAGACCUCGCGCCUGAAGAGAAGCCCGCGGCAGAUUAGCUAGUUGGUAAGGUAAUGGCUUACCAAGGCAACGAUCUGUAGCCGGCCUGAGAGGGCGGUCGGCCACACUGACACUGAAUAACGGGUCAGACUCCUACGGGAGGCAGCAGUCGGGAAUUUUGGGCAAUGGGCGCAAGCCUGACCCAGCAACGCCGCGUGAAGGAUGAAGUAUUUCGGUAUGUAAACUUCACAAGAAUGGGAAGAAUAAGUAGGGGACAAUACCCCCUAUGAUGACGGUACCAUUUGUAAGCUCCGGCUAACUCCGUGCCAGCAGCCGCGGUAAUACGGGGGGAGCAAGCGUUGUUCGGAUUUACUGGGCGUAAAGGGCGCGUAGGCGGCGCAACAAGUCACUUGUGAAAUCUCCGGGCUUAACCCGGAGCGGUCAAGUGAUACUGUCGUGCUAGAGUGCAGAAGGGGCAACUGGAAUUCUCGGUGUAGCGGUGAAAUGCGUAGAUAUCGAGAGGAACACCUGCGGCGAAAGCNGGUUGCUGGGCUGACACUGACGCUGAGGCGCGAAAGCUAGGGGAGCGAACGGGAUUAGAUACCCCGGUAGUCCUAGCCUAAA
rnacentral:rRNA from 1 species